rnacentral:tRNA from 1 species
GCCCCUAUCGUCUAGUGGCCUAGGACGUCAGGUUCUCAUCCUGGAAACCGGGGUUCGAUUCCCCGUGGGGGCG